rnacentral:rRNA from 1 species
CACGUAGGGUGCAAGCGUUGUCCGGAAUUAUUGGGCGUAAAGGGCUCGUAGGCGGUUAGUCGCGUCGGGAGUGAAAACUCAGGGCUCAACCCUGAGCGUGCUUCCGAUACGGGCUGACUAGAGGUAUGCAGGGGAGAACGGAAUUCCUGGUGUAGCGGUGGAAUGCGCAGAUAUCAGGAGGAACACCGGUGGCGAAGGCGGUUCUCUGGGCAUUACCUGACGCUGAGGAGCGAAAGCAUGGGGAGCGAACAGG